UUGGUGUAAAACUGGCCGGUCAUCUUGUUUUUAAGUCUUCACUAAGGAUAAAAUCCUAGCUCCGCUGGAGUCAGUGGGAAUUUUGCUGUUGAUUUCAGUGGGGUAAGGAUAUCCUGGGGGAUGAUUAUUUCUCUCUGGAACGGUGAAAGCUGCUGCUCAAUACAGUAACCGGGGAUCAGUGUUUAGAGGUUACCAGGCAUGAUUGUCUGAGCUGAUCUGACUCACCUAAACUUGCAGAAAGUGAUAAGAAACGGGUGACUGGAGGGACUGAAGUAAUGAAACCAUAAUACUUGGAAAGAAAAAUACAAACAUCAGGAGCUGUUGGACAGCAAGACAGAAAAGAUUCAUGCUCAUCUCAAAAGGGGUGGAAAAUCUAAUGCUUCAGAUUCUUCAGGAUCCAAUGUGCCGCUGCCUGAAACGCUGUCUAGUGAAGUGGGAAAGAAGAACACUGAGGAGCUUAAAGGACAUUUUCUCAGGUCUGGGGUCUAUACUAGGAGUUAGAUUGAUGCAAGGCAGCUCACAUCGACCUAACUAUGGAAGUGUCUACACUAAAACUUAUUUCCCACUGAUGUAACUGCCCUGCUAUGUGGACUUAAUAACUCCACCUCCAUGAGCGGGGUAGAGUCCAGGUUGAUGUAGUUGAUGUAGUGUAGACGCUGCAUUGUGUAUAUCGACUGUUACUGGCUUUCAGAAGCCAUCCCACAAUGCCCCACGCUGCCAGUACAAUCGACACAAGCACUGCUGGUGAGGACGCGCACUGCGGAGACAAGGAGCAAAAUGUAGGCACCCACGAGUGAUGGAAUUACUGCGGUGGCUGAAUGCCAACGCAAAUUAAUUAAGCGAACUUGAUUUUGUCAUGUUGACAUGCCCUCCUUGUCAUUGUCCCCAUCAAAACAAAGCUGCUGUGAUCACUUAUGUCCUUGUUCUAGGCCUCUCUGGCAUCAGCUUUAGUCAGGAGCUGUCCCUGACCUCCACACUCCCAAAAUGGCAAAGAUUAACUGCUGUUUAUGCCAGCAAAACAACCCCAAGGCAACGACUUCAGCUUAAAAAGGAAGUUGCAAUGUCACCUUCUGCGUAGCACCAGAUAAGCAAUUUAUAGAAAGAACUGAAGCACUUUAUUCUAGGACAUGCUCCUCCAGACAGAUUUAAGCUCACAGGCCCAUUACUAGAUGCUGCAGAAGAAACAGAGGAAAAGAUGAAAGGAAGAGAUAGAAGACCCAAUGUUGGCAUUUCAUGCAAUGUGGGUGGACAAACACAAGAAAUGACCCAAUAAAGGCUACGACCUGCCAGGCGGGAAAAACAGGUUCCUUUGUAAUGGGACUGACCCCACACCUGAAGAGCAAAGAGCAGCAUAUUCUGACUCAACGUUGCUGAAGAUCCCAUCUGAGAAUGGAGAGAAAAGUAUGACAAGAAUGUCUCAGCCACUUGCUUAGACCCUAAAAAUGGAAUGGAAGAGAUGAGAGGACUUCGGCCUGCACUGCUGAUGCUGGGUGCACUAACCGUAAACCUUAGACCUUGCUGAGAGAGAAGGAAAAGCUACCACAGUGCUCGAGCUUCCCAAGCCCCCACCGGCUGCACGGCUGGGUGACUGAAGGAGGAUUGAUGCCCCGGCUUCCUGGUGACGCUUGGUAGAGCUCCCGGAACGACAUUUGCAGCCAGCUACCACAGGUAUGUUGCAAUUUGCUGUGAGCACAAGGAGCACUUUGAUCAAAGCACAGCAGGUACUGUGCACAGAAAACAGGGCUUUCAAGAGAGGCACUGAACUUCUAAAAGCCGUCAGAGGAUUUGGAGAACUUGAGGAAUCAUAUUGUUGAGGCCUCUGGAGAUCUGGCUUGAUCUAAAUCAACAACAAAGUGCACACGGAUCAAAACCUGCGCAGAGAUGCCACAGGACCGUUCCAUGAUGGAACCAGCGUGUCUGACCCCAAACCCAAAGGUCAGAGACUGAGCUUAGAAUAGGAAGAGGCUAGAAUGUGGUGGUGGAACAUAGCCCUGGGCUCCUGCCUGCCUUUCUAGUGUUUAAAACCGAGGCUCCAGCUGUCCCUCCCCAGCCUGUGUUUGUGAAAGAGACUCUGUCAUGGAUCAUCUUGUCAAAAUGGCAGGUCACAGCAGGCAGGCCAGCUGAGUUCCGUCUAGCCAGCCCAGCGCCCAAGCAUGUUUUAGCACAUGUGAAUUGGCUUGGCCACAGGCUAGGUGCUGAGAAAGCAAACAGGCUGGGGUGAGCAGGUAUCUGAGGGUAGAUUCACAAGAGAGUGCCGAGCCUCACUACUUAGUUUCCUGGGCAUGUGGCCUCGUGGUGGAUUGACAGUGUGCGUGGAGCUCAAGUGGCAGAGCUCGGCCAGGACGGUGCCAUCUGUAUACAAGUGAUUGCAGGUGGCUGCUCCAGCUCUGCUGAGAGCUGCAGCCUGUCAAGUGCCAACGGUCUCUGCUCAGAGCUGGCCCUUGCGGUGCCAGCCCCAGGCUUUGGCCACACCAGCCUGGUGUGCACGGCCCAUCCAGCUGCCCCUGCUGUACCCAGAGCCAGGGCAUCCCCAGCUGGCAGAGUGCGGGGUGAGGGGAGAGGACUCUGGGGACCCAGCAUCUCUCUGUGCCCACGGCACCAACGCUCUCCCCUCUCGGAGCAACUGCUGCGCACCACCCUCGCUCUCCUGGCCCGGCUGGGGUGAGUCCUUCCUGCAGAAAGACGCUCCAGGAUGCAGAGCCGCAGGGGAGGGCACGCAGAGCCCCGGGCACACACGCCAAGCUGGGCACUGGCUGGUCAGAACACUUCGCCUGCAGCCCCUGCCCACUGUGCUGGGCAUCCAGAUGUCCCACACUGAGCACGGGGCUGGGCGGGGGGUCUCCAGGCCCACUGAGAGAGUGGCACCGGUGACUCGGGGGGGCGCUGUUCCCUGGGAGGCAGAGCUGAGCCCAGCACUGUGUGUCACACCCGUGCCUGCCGCCCCUCCCGCGGCAAUCCCAGCCAUAAAUGGCCGGUGGGGGAUGUGGGGGCUUUGCUGCUUGGCACACCAGACUGCUUUUGUCGCCAUGAACCCUGUUUUUCAGGAGCUUUCUUUUGUGUGUGAAUUAAAUCAACUGAUUUUUAGAACAA